ensembl:miRNA
UGAGGCAGGAGAAUUGCUUGAACCCAGGAAGUGGAAGCUGCAGUGAGCCGAGAUAGAGCCACUGCACUCCAGCCUGGGCGACAGAGUGAGACUCCAGUCUC